rnacentral:lncRNA from 1 species
UCCUCCCAGCCUUCAGCGUCUCCAAGGGCUAUAAGAAGGGAGGUGGAGGCCAAGGAGGGAGGGGAGAGAAGAGGGGUGCUCGGUGGAGGCCAAGAAAUAGAGGAGGGAGGAGAGGUUCCCGGUUUGGUUUGGGAGAGAGAGCUCGGUUCGGUGGGGAGAAAAGAAGAAACAGAGCAUUGCUCUGUUCUUGGGAAGAAGAAAGAAAUAAAAAAAUAUAUUUUCUAUUGAAAGUCCACCGUGGGAGGGAAAGGGAGAGGAAAUAAAGUUUCUUAUUUUAUUUUUUUACUUGUAGAAGAAAGAAGCAUUAGGCUUCAUCUUCAAUCUUUUUACUUUUUGUAAUUAUUUCUUUUUAUGAAAUCAAUUAAUUUUCUUUCAUGCAAUCCAUGUUCUAGGUUCAGUUUAAUUUCUACUUUUUAUGUAAUGCAUUAAACUUUCUUUCAUUCAGUCUAUGUUCCAGGCUUCAAUCUUCCUAAGCACUGUUUUCAUC